rnacentral:rRNA from 1 species
CAGAGAUGAGAAUGUGCCUUCGGGAACCGUGAGACAGGUGCUGCAUGGCUGUCGUCAGCUCGUGUUGUGAAAUGUUGGGUUAAGUCCCGCAACGAGCGCAACCCUUAUCCUUUGUUGCCAGCGGUCCGGCCGGGAACUCAAAGGAGACUGCCAGUGAUAAACUGGAGGAAGGUGGGGAUGACGUCAAGUCAUCAUGGCCCUUACGACCAGGGCUACACACGUGCUACAAUGGCGCAUACAAAGAGAAGCGACCUCGCGAGAGCAAGCGGACCUCAUAAAGUGCGUCGUAGUCCGGAUUGGAGUCUGCAACUCGACUCCAUGAAGUCGGAAUCGCUAGUAAUCGUGGAUCAGAAUGCCACGGUGAAUACGUUCCCGGGCCUUGUACACACCGCCCGUCACACCAUGGGAGUGGGUUGCAAAAGAAGUAGGUAGCUUAACCUUCGGGAGGGCGCUUACCACUUUGUGAUUCAUGACUGGGGUGAAGUCGUAACAAGGUAACCGUAGGGGAACCUGCGGCUGGAUCACCUCCUA